UACGUAGGAUGCAAGCGUUGCCCGGAUUUAUUGGGCGUAAAGAGCUCGUAGGCGGUCUGUUGCGUCCGCUGUGAAAACCCAGGGCUUAACCCUGGGCUGGCAGUGGAUACGGACAGACUAGAGGUAGGUAGGGGAGAAUGGAAUUCCCGGUGUAGCGGUGAAAUGCGCAGAUAUCGGGAGGAACACCGGUGGCGAAGGCGGUUCUCUGGGCCUUACCUGACGCUGAGGAGCGAAAGCGUGGGGAGCGAACAGG
rnacentral:rRNA from 1 species